rnacentral:rRNA from 1 species
CCGGUGGCCCAACCCCUUGUGGGAGGGAGCUGUCGAAGGUGGGACUGGCGAUUGGGACGAAGUCGUAACAAGGUAGCCGUACCGGAAGGUGCGGCUGGAUCACCUCCUUUCUAAGGAG